UGAAUUACUCGAAAGAGGGAAAAUUCUGUGGUGCCUCAGCUGUACCGGUGCAGCCGGUUAUCCAAAGCUCAGUAUUGCAUCUUAAAAAUGAAGGGCUGAGAUUGAAUGACCUAAAGACUUGUUGAGCCCUUUGUUAUUAAAUAUCACGUGACAUACAAGUGACUCAGAAAACAAGUGAAAAGCUUCAACGAACGCGAGGAAGCCCUGGCGUGCGCGGAAGCUGCUUGUCUCUGCGAUCUAUCUCUCUCUCUUGGAAAUCCAAUCCUCAUCUAUAUCCCCAAAUCAGAAUCUGGGCGUCUCACCUCUGCCAACGCCGAGAUGCAACAGCCAUCGGACAUCGCCGAUUCCGGAAUCACCAUCCACGCAAGGUUUGCCUGCUUAGUUGUCUUCUUUUUCCAUCGGUUCAAUUCAGAAGAUUACUCGGUUUUUGUCUUUGAAGAAUCUUAAUCAAGAAGCUUGGAAGCAAUUGGGUUUUGGGGUUGAUACAUCUGGCAUAUCACCACAUGCUCUCCAUUUGUUUGCUGAAAUGUCACACUCAUGUUGGGUAUGCAAUGGUGGUACUGCACUUCUUGAUUUUGAUCUUGGCUACCAUAUGGGCAUUCGAGACAAUGGUGGUGUUUUAUACCAGUUAUCGCACGGAGUAAGACUCCGUUUUCAGGCCACUUUUUUGGUGUUACACUCCAAAUAGCACGAUGCUUCCAGUUUUUGAUUGUGUACUGACAUUGAGAUGGACAAGUUAUGUGCCAUUCGUAGAUGACAUUUGGAAUGUCGAGUGGUAUUUUUGCUUUUCGAGUGUUAAUUUGUUUGAUUUUUAGAUAACAUGUUAUUUGUGUUAGAUUUAAUGUGUCAAUUUCUGUUACAGAAUUAUGAUCAUGCAAUUUUUUUUUUUCCAUGUAAGAGUACUGGGAUGGAUGCUUGCUUGGGCAUUCUUCUCAUUCUCUUUUCCACUGCAGAUUAUAAGCUUAGAUGGGUCUGCUUCAAGAAGCUUUGUUAUAUUCAUAAUCAGCAGUUUAUUUUAGUUGCUUGCAGUUUUUCGGUGCUCUCCUCUUCAUCUCUGCUUUUCUCAUUAAUUCAUUUAUUUAGAGUUUUGUCCAGGUUAGGCUUUGAUUUUUGUUCUUCUUUUGUUUUCUCAGGGGAUUCUUUUGGCAGAGGAAUUGAAGGGUUAGAAGCAGUUAGAGGGGAACAAUUAAGAGAUAAAGCUGUGAAGCAUUUAAGGUAUAUACAUUACUAUUAUUUGCAAAGGAGGAGGACACAACCAGGAAAAAAUUGUUGACGAAGUUAAAGGAUCUUCACAGGCAACCAGCAGUUAGAUUACACACAACAGGUUGUGAGAACAAAACAUGUUUAGCAGACAAACAUACAAAUUCCACGAAAUAGCAGAUGAUUGUCUUUUUAGCGGAGAAAUAAUUAGUAUAGCUCUACUUUUUCUUUUCUUUUCCUUUUUUAGGUAAAGAGUUAGUUUAAGUACAGAGUUUCCGUAUGAAAUUUGUUAAUGUUUUUGUGUGAUAUCUGUUUGCUCUUUGUAUAAAAAGCCUUAAAGGCUUCUAAUAUUUCCAUUUUCCCAAUUGAACUCCUAUAUUAGUCCCUUUUCCUAUAAUAGGAACAUUUGGUUGCAAUUUUUUUCUUUCAUGUUCUGUAUUCAGUUUAAGUUUCAUGCUUCAUGAUUGUAAUGUUUUUUAUUUUAAUAAAAGAAAAGCGAUAAUUUUCUUUU